rnacentral:rRNA from 1 species
AUUAAACGCUGGCGGCAUGCCUUACACAUGCAAGUCGAACGGCAGCACGGGGGCAACCCUGGUGGCGAGUGGCGAACGGGUGAGUAAAGCAUCGGAACGUGCCCUGGAGUGGGGGAUAACGUAGCGAAAGUUACGCUAAUACCGCAUAUUCUGUGAGCAGGAAAGCAGGGGAUCGCAAGACCUUGCGCUCUGGGAGCGGCCGAUGUCGGAUUAGCUAGUUGGUGGGGUAAAGGCCUACCAAGGCGACGAUCCGUAGCGGGUCUGAGAGGAUGAUCCGCCACACUGGGACUGAGACACGGCCCAGACUCCUACGGGAGGCAGCAGUGGGGAAUUUUGGACAAUGGGGGCAACCCUGAUCCAGCCAUGCCGCGUGAGUGAAGAAGGCCU